UACGUAGGGUGCGAGCGUUAAUCGGAAUUACUGGGCGUAAAGCGUGCGCAGGCGGUUCGUUGUGUCGGCGGUGAAAGCCCCGGGCUUAACCUGGGAAUGGCCGUUGAAACUGGCGAACUGGAGUGUGGCAGAGGGGGGUGGAAUUCCGCGUGUAGCAGUGAAAUGCGUAGAGAUGCGGAGGAACACCGACGGCGAAGGCAGCCCCCUGGGCUAACACUGACGCUCAGGCACGAAAGCGUGGGGAGCAAACAGG
rnacentral:rRNA from 1 species